AUUAGGAGGUGAGAAGCUACAUACAACCCUAACACAAGCCUGCAAAAAAGGGGGAGGUCUCUAUUUCAACCCCACUUCUGUUGUUAAAAAGAAAGGAACUGAAGAAACUCUAGAGCUGCUGGAGAAGGAGAAGUACGUUGAGGGAAGUAGAGGUCAAAAUUAUGCAUACCCUAUUUUGGGGGGAGAUUUGGCAGCCUGGGACUGGGCAAAAGGAGUUCAAAUAUUGAAAACCAGACCACAGAGCUACGGUGUACUAUUUUUUCUUUUUUUUUUUUCUUUUUAGUAGUUGAAGUGUGACUGGCUUUGGACACCACUAUUUUUAUUCAUAGACUAUAGAGUCGGAAGGGACCCAAUGGAUUAUCGUGUCUGACCCCCUGCCCCCGGCAGGAAAGAGGACUGAGGUCAGAUGACCCCAGCCAGGUGAUUUGUCAAGCCUCUUCUUGAAGACCUCCAAGUUAGGUGAUGGCACCACCUCUCUUGGAAGCCCAAGAGAAGAGACCUUAAAAACCUGACUCUUAAUCAGAGCCUAUACACGAGCAGGGAGGCUGCUCCGACGUGCUGUAAUUCCAGCAUGUUGUAGCAGACUGAUUAAUCGAGUCUGCCAGAGCGUGGCAAUUGCUGCACUCCAGCAGCUUCCCAUGUCUCGCAUAUCAGUGUCCCCGUGCUUCAGAAUGGCAUUGGAUGCUUUUAUUUAAAGCUCAUUUGACAGGUGUUAGAUAACGUGCCUCUGCUGCCAUUUGGAAAUGCAGGGAUGCUGAUACACAAGAUGCACUGGGUGCUUUAAUUGGAGCCAUUCUAAUUAAAACACCCCUGCCCCACUCCCGGAGCAUGUGUAUAAACACCUAGCUGGUGGCUUGCGGUUGUCCUCCAAAAUCCCUAAUCGCUCCAGAAAGUAUAGGCUGCUACCUACAUUCAGAAAUCCCCCAAGGAGACUUCUCUGACUUACAGGCAUUAUGUCAUUUCGGGCACAAUCUAGCCAUCAAAGGACAGGUCAGUUGUCUGAGGUUUCAGCUGGCCUGGAUGAUCUCCCAUUAAACCCUGUGCACUGUCCCCAUUCUGGGGCAAGGACUUUUGUUGCAGUAGUCUACAAAUGAGCACUUUGUCAUUCUCCCGGUGCUUGCGGGAAUGGCAGAAGAAUUGUCACUCAUCCUAGAGUGGCAGGGACGACCAGCACCAGCAGUACCGAGUUGGAGGGGAAGGGAGGAAAGAAAUUGAGUCUCUUUAAAAAGUCUGCUCAGUUUUACUCCUCCUUUGUACCUCCCUAUACCUCGCAUAGUUAUUCUGAUGAAUUGCAAGCUCAGUGAGAUCCGCUGCCACUGUACAAAGAAAGGGAGCUGACAAGCAAAAGUUUUAAAGGGCUCAAUUCACAGCUGAUGUAAAUUGAAAUCAGUCUAUUAUUUUUCCCUGCCAGCUGAGGAUUUGGCCCUUUUUAUGCUGGGGAGAAGUUUAAGCUUGAUGCUUGGAAGGGACAUCAUUUUUGAGGGGGAAAGGAAAAAGAAGUGUUGCUUGGAGGGGAAAGCAUGGCUCAGGGGUUGCCCCUUGUUUUCUCCUUGUGACCUCGGGUUGCAGCAGAAAGCUCUGCUGAAGCUGUCACUUGUGACGGCAGAGGGGGGCUCUGCUGCUAGCCACAGGCUGGCCAGCUAGUUACACUGGUUCUGUUCUCUCACUCCUACGCUCCUUGUGCAGCGUGGGUGGGAUGCCCUGAGGAAGAAAACACAAGAUGAAAACCACAUGAAAAAUUCAGGGGGAAUAUAUAUAUAUUUUUUUUAUUAUUAACAAUACAAUCCCCGGUAUGUUUACAUUAUUAGAACCAAACGGUGGCCUCAGCUGGAAGAUGCCACGAGUGGGAGAAGCUGAAAAAUCCCAUGCAAGUUUUAAAUGCAACCUUCUUCAUGCACAGGGCUAAUGACGGCAGUUUAGAGAGGGGGAGUGUCCACUGCCUUAGUUGCAGGCCUAGGACUUGAUCUAAAUUCAGUGGCUCCGCAAAAGACUCCCAAUGUGAAUGUGCACAAGUCCUUCAGGCCCUGAUCUUCCAAGUUUCUCAGGUGCCUAAAUACCCCUGAUGAUUAAUCUUCCCAUGCACUGCUUUUUCUCCUCCCGUGGAUGGGUUCAGUGAUAUUCCUUCGUUCUAACCUGCUUACUUUGUAAGCCCUUUUUUUUUUUUUUUGGUGUGUAUACAUGGUCCAUAGCAGAGUGUGUCAUGGGUACACCUGUAAGACUAAUAGUAAACAAUCAGCUGUUCUGCAUUCAAUGGAAUUGGACUAGAAUAAAUGAGACCAUAAUCCAGUUCUGUAUUCUUAGUUGGAAAUUAGUACCUGUGUAAAUCUGGGGCCUACCUGAUACAAAAGCAUAGUCUUCCGUUGGUGUAACUUUGCUGGCAUAAGUGCGAUCGCUACUUGGCCACAGCAGCAUAAAUCGGAUCAGAAUUGAGCAACCCCUGCAGUUUUUAAUUUUUCUGGUGACUUUGACAUUAUGCAAAGUGUUAAAGGCUUCAGAACAGCUGAUGCCUUUCAGUUGUCAUUUUGCUGGAUAUGGAUAAGUUAUGAUCCAUAACUGAAAUCUCUGUGCACUGUUAAAACAGUGAAUGACAGUAGUAACACUAGUUCUGCCAUUAAAGGAAAGCUGCCUACCCACCUAUGCUCUCCACGUAAGUGUAGGCCUCAUGGGGAAACUUUCUCUCUCUCUCUCUCUCUCAUUUGGUCGUUACUACAGUAAAGAAGUUUUCGUACAGCUUCCUCAUUAUUGCUAACAUCGGUUUACUUCCAGCAUAGAUCGUUGCAGACAAACAUGACACUGUGUCACCUAAGGGACGCAGGGAAUCUCAAGAGGGUCCAGAGGAGGGCCACUGGCAUGAUUAGUGGUCUUCGUGAUAGACCCUACAGGGGGAGGUUGAGAGAGCUGAAUCUCUUCAGCCUUCACAAGAGACGGCUGAGGGGAGAUCUUGUGGCCACCUAUAAGUUUAUUAGGGGAGGUCAACGGGGAAUAGGUGCCGUGCUGUUUACUAAGGCACCCCAGGGAGUGACUAGGAAUAACAGGUGUAAACUAGUUGAGAGUGGAUUUAGGUUAGAUAUUAGGAAGAAAUUUUUCACAGUAAGGGUGGCCAGGAUCUGGAAUGGGCUUCCAAGAGAGGUGGUGCUAUCACCUAGCUUGGAGGUCUUCAAGAGGAGGCUAG